UCGGGAAUUUUGGGCAAUGGGCGAAAGCCUGACCCAGCAACGCCGCGUGAAGGAUGAAGUAUUUCGGUAUGUAAACUUCGAAAGAAUAGGAAGAAUAAAUGACGGUACUAUUUAUAAGGUCCGGCUAACUACGUGCCAGCAGCCGCGGUAAUACGUAGGGACCAAGCGUUGUUCGGAUUUACUGGGCGUAAAGGGCGCGUAGGCGGCCCUCUAAGUCAGACGUGAAAUCCCCCGGCUUAACCUGGGAACUGCGUCUGAUACUGGAGGGCUUGAGUAUGGGAGAGGGAUGUAGAAUUCCAGGUGUAGCGGUGAAAUGCGUAGAUAUCUGGAGGAAUACCGGUGGCGAAGGCGGCAUCCUGGACCAUUACUGACGCUGAGGCGCGAAAGCUAGGGGANCAAACGGGAUUAGAUACCCACGUAGUCCCUGAGCGGGCUGGCAAGGCGCAU
rnacentral:rRNA from 1 species